AUGAUGAUUGGUGAAUAUAGAG
rnacentral:siRNA from 1 species